AUGCUUUUCCUAAAGAUUAAGCCAUGCAUGCCUAAGACUAUGAGGAAGCAAUUCUCUCUGAAUCUGCGAACGGCUCCGCAAACCAGUUGUAGACCAUAGCAGCGUUCCGCCCGGCUUCAGCAAUGGAGCCGGGCAUUAUAUGGAUAACCGUGGUAAUUCUGAGGCUAAUACAUGACACACCAACCUGCCGGGCGUGGGGGCGAACUCCGGCGUAGGUGGGGGACGUGCAAACUCCCAUUGCUAUAACAAAACCAACGAAUGAAUG
rnacentral:rRNA from 1 species